AUUGAACGCUGGCGGCAGGCCUAACACAUGCAAGUCGAGCGGAGCGGCGGACGGGUGAGUAAUGCCUAGGAAUCUGCCUGGUAGUGGGGGAUAACGUCCGGAAACGGGCGCUAAUACCGCAUACUAUCAGAUGAGCCUCGGUCGGAUUAGCUAGGUGGUGGGGUAAAGGCCUACCAAGGCGACGAUCCGUAACUGGUCUGAGAGGAUGAUCAGUCAAAUGGAAAAUGAGAGACGGUCCAGACUCCUCUGGGAGUCAGCAGUGGGGAAGAUUGUACAAUGGGCGAAAGCCGUAUCGAGCCAUGCCGCGGGUGUGAAGAAGGUCUGCGGAUUGUAAAGCACUUUAAGUUGGGAGGCGUUACCAACAGAAUAAGCACCGGCUAACUUCGUGCCAGCAGCCGCGGUAAUAC
rnacentral:rRNA from 1 species